AUGUAAUGUAAUUCCUACAAAGUUAAUGCAUCGGAUCCCAUUAGAAUUCCACAGUUAAGUGUGCUUGGGAUAGAGUAGCACUGGGAUGGGUGACCUCCUAGGAAGUCCUAAUGUUUUACAUG
rnacentral:rRNA from 1 species